GACGAACGCUGGCGGCGUGCUUAACACAUGCAAGUCGAACGGAAAGGCCCUGCUUUUGUGGGGUGCUCGAGUGGCGAACGGGUGAGUAACACGUGAGUAACCUGCCCUUGACUUUGGGAUAACUUCAGGAAACUGGGGCUAAUACCGGAUAGGAGCUCCUGCUGCAUGGUGGGGGUUGGAAAGUUUCGGCGGUUGGGGAUGGACUCGCGGCUUAUCAGCUUGUUUGUGGGGUAGUGGCUUACCAAGGCUUUGACGGGUAGCCGGCCUGAGAGGGUGACCGGCCACAUUGGGACUGAGAUACGGCCCAGACGCCUACGGGAGGCAGCAGUGGGGAAUAUUGCACAAUGGGCGGAAGCCUGAUGCAGAAACGCCGCGUGCGGGAUGACGGCCUUCGGGUUGUAAACCGAUUUCGCCUGUGACGAAGCGUGAGUGACGGUAAUGGGUAAAGAAGCACCGGCUAACUACGUG
rnacentral:rRNA from 1 species